rnacentral:rRNA from 1 species
AGGAAGUAUAAUUAAUAAAAACCUAAUUACGCAUAAUGGCGGCUUCCGUUUUAUUAGAGGAACUUGUCAAAUCAUCGACAACCCCCGUUAAAUUUCACUUUAAAAAUAAACUUAUAUAUCGCCAUCUAAAGAGAUUUUAUUAAUAAUUUCUCUAAAGAAAAUAUAAAAAGUUAGGUCAAGGUGUAGUCAAUAUUAAAGUUUUAGAUGAGUUACACUAAACUAAAUUUAAGGAAAUUUCCAUAAAAUUAGAAAUAGAAAAAGGAUUUAUAAGUAUUGUUACAAUAAUAAUUUUAAUUGAAUAAAUUAACAGAAGUGC